CCAACAGGGAUUGCCUCAGUAACGGCGAGUGAAGCGGCAACAGCUCAAAUUUGAAAUCUGGCCCUAGGCCCGAGUUGUAAUUUGCAGAGGAUGCUUCUGGCGCGGUGCCUUCCAAGUCCCCUGGAACGGGGCGCCAUAGAGGGUGAGAGCCCCGUCUGGUUGGCCGCCAAGCCUGUGUGAAGCUCCUUCGACGAGUCGAGUAGUUUGGGAAUGCUGCUCUAAAUGGGAGGUAGACCCCUUCUAAAGCUAAAUAUUGGCCAGAGACCGAUAGCGCACAAGUAGAGUGAUCGAAAGAUGAAAAGCACUUUGAAAAGAGGGUUAAACAGUACGUGAAAUUGUUGAAAGGGAAGCGCUUGUGACCAGACGUGCGUCGGGGUGUUCAGCGGGCGUUCUCGCCCGUGCACUCGCCCCGGCGCAGGCCAGCGUCGGUUCGGGCGGGGGGACAAAGGCGUUGGGAACGUAGCUCCUCCGGGAGUGUUAUAUCCCAGCGUGCCAUGCCCCCGCCUGGACCGAGGUUCGCGCUCCGCAAGGACGCUGGCGUAAUGGUCCCCAGCGGCCCGUCUUGAAACACGGACCAAGGAGUCGAGGUUUUGCGCGAGUGUUUGGGUGUCAAACCCGCACGCGUAAUGAAAGUGAACGCAGGUGGGAGCUUCGGCGCACCACCGACCGAUCCUGAUGUUCUCGGAUGGAUUUGAGUAAGAGCGUAGGGCCUCGGACCCGAAAGAUGGUGAACUAUACGUGAAUAGGGUGAAGCCAGAGGAAACUCUGGUGGAGGCUCGCAGCGGUUCUGACGUGCAAAUCGAUCGUCAAAUUUGCGUAUGGGGGCGAAAGACUAAUCGAACCAUCUAGUAGCUGGUUACCGCCGA
rnacentral:rRNA from 1 species